GGAGGGAAUGAGAAAACCUCCAGGGAAAGUGCCGCGCGCCACAGAUGCCGGGAAGGAAGAAGCUGGGGCGCUCUGGGAUAAAGGCUGAGAAGGACAAUCAGAGACUCUUUACUGCUGAGGGAGGAACAACAACCAGGAGGGACUCAACAGGAAGGAGAAAAUGCAGGAAACUGAGGAAGGUGGUGAGGAGUCUGCCAUGCUCUGGAGAGCAGUCCUAGAGACAGCGGACUGCAGCAACUCUUGCUCUCAAGCCGGUCACUAAUCUCCAGAAGCAGCUCGGGCUUCUCACUUGUCCCCACAGGGCUGCUGUUCUAUGCUGAGGUUGGCCCUGCUCACAAAGGACCUUCUAAGCCAGCUUCUGAGCAUGGGAUGUUGCUAGGCAGGACAGUAGGAGUGAUUAGCUCAUCUUAGCUACAAAAACAGUUGGAAAAUGUUAAAAAAGAGGGUAAGCGCCCUUAGCAGCUUAGUAGUUCAGGCUCCUAACAGAAGAUGCUUACUCUAAAGAAAAUUUGAUUAUAAUCUAUAAGAGAAUGCAUGUCUCCUCCAGGAAUGGUCACUCAGGGACAAGGAUGGAUGGGUGUAAACCCUGCCAGAAGCAGUAUGAUCUGGAAUGGCCCAGUCCCACCACUCUUCUCACACAGUCCAGCCCUUGCCUGUAGAGGAAGCAGCUAUGUGGCAACGGUGGUGGUGCCUGGGUUCUCUGGACCAGUGCACAAAGCAAGCUCUGGGUUUUGUAAUCUAGAAAACUGCCAGCCUGCACACAUAGCCAGACAGAUGUGGAGCGAUGUACUGAAUAAGGAGUGCUCUCUUUCUGUGGGCUCACUCAUUGGUACUCAGGUGGAUGGUACUCAGGGUCUAUGGUGGGUUAUCACCUUUCAUCGAGGCUGCAGUGUACUGUACAAGUAUGCAAGGCCUUUCCAAGAUCUGGAGACAAGAGGGGUUGUAAAAGUCUGUAUUCUGACAUGUGACUUGAGGGUCAGUGCUAGAAUGUCAAGGCACAGAGAGGUGGGCUGUCCCCAAAUCAAAAGGUAGACUUUAUUUACUAAAGCAGCCUAGCCAGCAGAUGGCUAACGCAGCCUUCGAGCCAUCAUCUGCCCCAGGCCAUGGCACUGUCACCGGCUUGGCCGCGUGCAGAAGCCUUCACCUCUCAGGGAAAGGUGGUCUGGCCCCUCCUGCUGCUUUGCUGCUCAUCAUUGUCUCCUCAUGGACAUCUGACAUUUUGUUUCUGAAAUUAUUUAUGGUCGCUUCUGAGCAUAUUCACUUGCUUGUAUUAGUCUGCCAAGACAAACCACAGAGAGUGGCUUAAACAACAGAAACUUCUUUGUCAUCGUCCUCAGGGCUAGGGGCUCUGAGACCCUUCCCUUGGUCUGCAGGUAGCUCCUAUCUGCUGGUGCUCAUAGGGCUCGCUCUUUGUGCGUGUGCUGAGGGAGCUCUCUGGAGGGGCGGCUGCUUCUGAGGACACUCAGACUCCUGGAGCAGGAGCUCAGGAGAGGACCUCACUUAAUUGUCUCCAACAUGCUCUGCCUCCAGGUAUGACUGCACUGGAGAGGGCCAUCAGCAUGCGGACACUACUCAGCACUCAUCACGGUCUCAUGAUCUUCCACUCCCAAGAGCCUUUUCACUCAUGGCCUUUUGUUUCUUUCCUUUUUUGAGAUAGGGUAUCACUAUGUAGUUCGGGCUGUCUUGGAACUUGGUAAUGUAUACUAGGCUGGGCUUGGGUCGACAGAGAUCUACCAGCUUGCCCCAGAAUUAAGGGUGUGUGCCACCACAGCCCACUUUAGGAACAUUUUAAAAUGGAGAGCAUGGAGGAUAAAGCCCCAGGGCUCUAGGUGUAUCCCCCAUGCUCAGCUUCUUAUGGGAACAUUCCAAACGUGGAUAUUUUGGUUGUAGCUUAUACAACGAAUACUUUAUUGACUGAGACAUCUCCAUAGCCUUGCCCGGUCCCGUUUACAACUCUUCUUGGUUACCCAGUAACCAAACCCAAGAACCAUGACAGAAGCAGAGCUGGGCUCACCCAGUGCCCUGCUGGGAAGAAGGUGACUGAAGAGGUCCACUGGCUACCAAGCAUUCAUUCAGAAGGGAACUUGAAUACGAGCUGUUUCUUUGAGGACAUGCGAUACUUUUGAAUGAUGGACAGAGUGGCAUGCUUUGACCUUUAUCCUGAUAUCUCCAAGGGGAACUAUAUAAAAUUGCAUUUUUGAGGAAAACUACUUCUUCAAGAAGAUUAAGAAAGAAAAAUCCUGUCAAAAUGCACAUUGAAAUGUCUAGACUGGACCCUGAGGCCCCCAAUAAGAAGGCACCUCUCUCCUGUGGCAAGAGGAUAUCAUUUCAGAAGGUGUUGAGGGUGACUCAGUCUGCUUGCACAGAGACUUCAGAGUGCUUGAGAGGCUGUUUGCGAGGUCAUCCGUCAAGGUCUCCUCUGUGAUGAUGACCCUACCCUGUUUGCUAGAUGUGGCUAGCUCUCAGAAGCUAUUGGCUAGGCCCCAAAGAGAUGUUUAUUUCAAACAACAAAGUAAUACACUAAAAACACAGGUUUAUGGACAAGAAAGACAUGAAGUAGAAAGUGGAAUUCCCUCAUUAUCAUGCCAAGCCAAUCCCUUCCUGAGCAGCCAUCAGAAUGGCUCGGUGAGCUGGCUCCAGAGGUGAAAUCUAUGUUUCAAUGCUGAGGGCCGUGAGGCGCUUUCCAGUAGCUAGCACUGCACAGUCCUAGCUAAGCCCCUCUGCUGAGGAGCGCACACAUCUCCUCAAUGUUGGGUUAAUACAGAGUUGAAAUGGCAUCUAGUGAGGAGAAGCUCUGUCUAGUGUCUUUAUUGUUUUGUAUCUCUGCUUCUGAGAAAGCCUGUUUGCAUCACCCUGGAGGGAUACUUCUGUGCUACCAGCAGAAUCUUCAGCAGCAGAGUGGCAGAAUCACAAGAACUCGCUUCCUCCUCUGCCCAUUUAGUGUCCUCUCCAUCCUCCAGUGCACAGCAACACCAGUAGCAACUAUCAAACCCGAGUGAAGAAUCUCUCAGCCUUGGAAAUUUUCAACUCUUGCCUCAGGCACCACAGAGCAAGGACAAGCCAUGCCAGGCCCUAUCUGAAUUCCCUAGGAUGGAAACUGGGAAUGGAAAACUAUAGCUGCUUUGGAGAAUUUAUUAUAUAGCAAUAGUAUCAAAUUGAAUGCAGUUGCACAUCUAGUGUGAUCUUCAAGCCUGUAUUCCUAAGCACUUGGGCACAGGUCUGUAUCAAGCUACCAGUAAUGAAGAUGCAGGAUGAAGCCAUUCUUUGAGAAGUUCCAUCCCACUAAAGAUCCAGGAUCCAGCAAGUCCUUUUCUAUACUCAUCUUACAGAAGGUAACGGGCAUACGGCUAUGAAGUACAGUGAUGCUCAUGCUGCGGACUAUGGUGGAAAGCCAAGGGAACUCCACACAGCUAUCUGAGGACUUGCUUUUGGAAAAUUGCACUGGUUGAUCUAACUAGAUUGGCUGGUCCUCUUUUUCCUUGGUCUAUGUGAUCAAUACUCUAUAGCUGUUAAAAUAAAUGAAGCCAUCAAUACUUUAUCAGAGAAAUAUCUCUAUUCUUUAUUAACCAAAAAGAAUGCAGUCUUGUGACAAUCCUUCCCUCUAAAAGAAAACAAAGCAUGACUAUAUGUGUAUAUGCUUGUGUAGAAGAGAAGAAGUCUGAGAGGUUACUCACUAAACUCAUAAAUGAUCUGUUAUAAAGUUUGGUGGGACUAAGUCUGAUGGUAGACCAGUGUGGUACUUCACGGGAAGACCCCAUUUUUUUGUACAGGCACAGCAUCUUCUACCAAUGAAGAAAUGAUUCUUGCUUUAGUAGUAGAAGACAGUGGAUAUCAAUGGAUGGAAUGAGGAACUCUAUAAAUUGAUUAUUAUAAAUAUUGCAUAAAAUCAAGCAAAUCCUCUUUGCCUGUAUUUCACUGUGGGGGAGGGGCAUCCUUUCCAGCUGUCACUGGUUAUGUAAGCACAACAUCUGAUGUGUGGUUUAUAGUCUCUAAGCUCAGGGUAGAAGUGAAAAAAAUGCUGUAUGAAAAUCAUUCUUCUUGGGUUCAGCUUUCCCAGGAUGAAGAAACAUGAGGAACUAGAGGAUGCAGGUAGUUAAAGAGAAGUACAAAUGUUUAACACCCUCGAUGGAAAACUGAUGUCAUCCUGGGAUUAGGCAAAACCAGAGAUGUGGAGCCACAGAGAGGAUGACAGGACACAACAGUCCUGGAGAUGGAGCUCGGGUCACAGGUUGGGCCCUAAGUGUCUUUAUCUUCUGAGUCAAGUCAUCUCUCUGAUCUGCCCUUGAGCUUCAGAUCGUCCUGCCAGCACCUCCCAGGUCCUGGGAUGCUGGGGGUGUCCCAGCACAUUUGGGUUAUGUAGCACUGGGAUCCAGCAGGAUCGGUACGUGCUAGGUAUGUGCUCUACCAGCUUGGCUACCUCCAGCUCCAGUCUGCUUACCACGAGCAUGGGCCUCAUCUGUGACACUUUGAGAAAAUGCAACCGAGCGAGUUUUGGCUUUGAAUUCUUUCUGACAGCUUUGAGUCCAUUAAAAAUACAGUAAAUGUCAGUGAGAAUUUGCCACAGUAUAUUGUUUUGCCAAAAGGAAAAAUUUGUGAAAUCAGUAUAAACACUGUAAAAUUCUCUACAAAAUCAUUUCAGAGAUUUAGUUUCCUUAAAGAAGAACCAGACUUAUUUAUUUGUGGGGGAGGGGUGUGUACACCCACCAUGUACACAGGUGGAGGUCAGAUGAUAGCUUGCAGGAGGUGACAUUUCCUUCCAUCAUAUAGUUCCCAGGUACUAAUCUCAGGUCCCAAGCUUGGUGGCAAAUGCCUACCCCCAGUAAGCCACCUUGCCAGCCCUCAGUGGCUUAUUUUCCACUUACUGCCAUAUAGAACAGGAAAUGUUUUAAGAGAAAUCAUGUACAUAAAGCACACAUCUAAACCCGGAUUACCAUACACAUAUAUUCUGUUCCUGUGGCCGAGCCUCCCUGACGGUGCCUGCGAGUGUCUGUGUAUACUGUGUAUACUAUACUGCUGUUACAAUUUUCUUUAUUUCACAGCUUUCUGGGAUGUUUUAAUAGGGAAAGUUGAUGUAGUUCUCUAUAUUGUUUUUUAUCAUAUAUCACAUAACUAUUGCCACAACACCAAACAGAGGCCAUUGUUGUAGGCCAUUGUUGUAACUGUAGCUACUUUUUGUCUUGGGCAAAUGGCGAUACAUAAAGUGUUAUCCUAUUAUUUUUGAGACAGGGUCUGGCUUAGACUGGCUUUCAACUCCCUGUGUAGCCUAGCUGAUCUCAAACGGGUGGUCUUCCUGCCUCUACCUCUCAGAGCCGGGAUACCAGGUGUGCACUACCACACUUAACAAUUCCAAUUCUAAUUCAGAGGAAAAUGGGUAGGAAGGAAGAAAACUGGGACUUAGUUGCAAGUAUGAUAACAUAUCUUAUGCCAUUCUAUCAACAGAAAAAGUCUAUAAGACCCACUUCUAUCUGAAUUUUACAUUCAGGUUCAGAAAAAUUAACUAAUUUUCCUAAUACCCCAAACCUAACAAGGAGUAAAAAUGGGAUACUUUAUCUCCUAGCCAGUGGAAGAAAAAAAGAAACAAACUACCUGGAUUAAAAAGACAUGCCCCCACAUUAUCUGUUGUGAGGUAAGAGAGAGAGAGGAGAAACCCAGGCUCGCUGACCCUGAGGGACCCAUCAUACAGUGCUGCCUACCUGGGUUGGUUUGAACAUUUUCAAAAUCCAAGGUGAAGCAAAAGACACCGGCAACCCACACACAUUAUAUACAAAUAGGCUUGUGUGUAUUGAAAAGAUGACACAAGCUUAGAAAACAGAGAAAGAAGGAAUCUUUGCUUUUGUUUUUUUGAGACAGGGUUUCUCUGUGUAGCCCUGGCUGUCUGGAGCUCUCUAUGUAGUUAGUGCAGGCUGGCCUUGAACUCAUUGAGGUCCUAUUGCUUCUGCCUCCUGAGUGUUGGGAUUAAAGGUGUGCACCAGCAGACGUGGCUAAGAAUGAACCUUUGACUCGUAGACAGGAGACAGUGGGAACAUCCUACUUUCUCUGUCCCCUUGCUGCAUGCUUCAGAGGCCCCUGUUAUACCUUAGGUCGAUUCUGCUAACUAGACUCCAGGUUUUAUAUUUAGGGAUAUCGGAUAUGCUACUCAUGUUAUUUUUAUCCUAUUUGUGAGUUUUUCUUAACAUUAUCAAGAACUACAAGCCGGUGAAUCUCACAGAUGGAGGAACGAAUAUUUUACUACAAAGUAAUGCUUUAGUCAACUUGAAAGGUUAAUGUUAAUUAAGACAGCGAUAAAAGCUCUCCCAGAAAGAGUGACAAAUCUGUAACAUUACCUCCACUCCUGCGGGCCAUUGUCAGAGCUUCCAGAGAAGCUGCCGGGCUUAUUUCUAGCUGGCAUAUCAUCACUUUGGCUCGGCUAAUGACACUGGCUGCCUUCUUCAAGUCUUCAGAAUUCAAAAACAGAUUUGCUCCAGCCACUAUGACGAUGAUAUUCUGGCCUACGAAGAAAUUCUACAUAUUUAUACUAAACCAAGCAAAGCCAAUCUAAGGAUGUAAAACCAUCCUCUGAAGGCAUUAUAUACAGAAUGUGUUAGAAGAAUUAAUCUUAACAUUUCCAGGACAUUCCGGUUUAGUUAUUGUGUUCCAAAUGUGUUUUUUGGCAAUGUUUUUUGUGAGAUUCAUAAUAUUCUGAUUAUUUUCAUUUUUAUAGGAGAUAAGAGUCUUGCUAUGUUUUCUGGGCUGGCCUUAAGCACCUGGGCUCAAGAACCCCUCCCACCUCACCUUUCUGAGUAGGAGGGACUAUGAGCACAUACCACUCUACCUGACUUACUAUGAGCACUUAGUUACUUUACAUGUGUUUAUUUAUUUUGUGCAUGUAUGAACAUAUGUGUAUACAUGUGGGUGCAUGUAUACCAUGGGCAUGCAUGUGGAGGCUAUAGGAUUCAGUUCUUUCCUACCAUGUGGGUUGCAGGAACAGAAUUCAUGUCUCCAGGGCUCAUUUCUCCAGCCCAAUUAUUAUGAGCACUUUGAACAAAAAUUUAAGCAUAUUUUCCUUAUUAAUAUUCUUAUUACAAAGAAUAAUAGUUAGGGAAUGAUGCAUAACAUACUUUUACAAUUUCUUUUAUGUGAAAUGGCUAAUACACGAAUAUGGUAAAGAUUGUGAGUUCUAAGUGAUAGGUAUCAUACAGAUGAAUAUAGGUAGGAAUAACUCUGCAGAAUGCUCAAAACAAAUGCUCUACUGUAUAUGAGCAGUUCAUUUGCAUGCCAUGUUCUUCCCAAAGUGAUCCUGCUACCCCUAACACAUUUUAAACAAAUAUCUAAAAGACAGAAAAUAUAUGAGAUAGGUAUUCUCUUAUUUUAUUUGGUCUAUACUGUAUAGACCAAACAAAGAAAUACGGCUAAGGAUUUGAUAGACUCUCAUGACCUGAGCCCACUCUCUGUAAUCCUUUUAUAUCCACACAGGAGGUGGUGGUGAUGAUGCCCAAUUCUGCAGAUGAACUCUUUCUUCCUCUCUCUCUGUCUUUCUCUGUCUCUCUCCUCCCUCCCUCCAUCUCUCUCUCUCUUUUUCUCUCUCUCCCUCCCUCCCUCCCUCCUUCCCUCCCUCCCUCCCUCUCUUCUUGCCUCCCUCCCUCUCUGUAUGUGUGAGUACAUGGGGAAUGCACAGGGAACAUGUAGAAAUUGUUCUUCAUGCACCAGCUCCCUUUAUAAGAAAAUCACUUUCUUUGAGUCAGGUUUUUUUACUGGUCUGGAACUUGUCAAGCAGGCUAAGGUAGUUAAGCCAGGAAGCCACGGGAUCUUCUUGUUUCUGCCACCUCAGAGUUGGGAUUGCAAGCAUAUGCUCUCGUGACCAGCUUUUCCCUCCUCCCUCCCUCCCUCCCUUUCUUCCUUCCGUCCCUUCCUUCUUUCUCUUCCUCUUCUUUAUUUUCUUCUUCUCCUCUUCCCUCUUCUAUGUGGGUUCUGGGGAUUUAAAAGUUCUCCCAAAGAACUGUGGUGACAUAGCUAUCUCUGUAGCUCCUGGAAAAUGAACUCUUAGGAGGUGUGUUGUUCACUAUUAGAUUACAAUACUACAUGUGGCACUGACUCUUGAACUACUGCUAGUCUGAACUGAGAUGCACUGAUAUGCUUGGCCCAGGGAGUGGCACUAUUAGGAGGUGUGGCUUGGUUGGAGUAGGUGUGUCACUGUGGGUGUGGGCUAUAAGACCCUCAUCCUAAUUGCCUGGAAGUGAGUCUCCUCAUAGCAGCCUUCAGAUGAAGGUGCAGAAUUCUCAGCUCCUCCUGCACCAUGCCUGCCUGGAUGCUGUCAUGCUUAAUGUCAUGCCUUAAUGAUUAUGGACUGAACCUUUGAACCUGUAAGCCAGCUCCAACUAAAUGUUGUUCUUAUAAGAAUGGCUUUGGUCAUAGUGUCUGUUCACAGCAGUAAAUCUCUAACUAAGACAAAAGUCAAUACGUGCUGGAACAAAGAACAGGAUGUAACAUAUCUCACUAUUUUUUAAAAAGAUGUAUUUACUUUUAUUUUAUGUGCACUGAUGUUUUGCCUGCGUGCAUGUCUGUGUGAAGGUUGUCAGAUCCCUUGGAACAAGAGUUACAGAUAGUUGUGAACUGUGGAUGCUGGGAAUUGAACCUGGGUCCUCUGGAAGAGCUGUAAGUACUUUUAACCAAUGAACCAUAUCUCCAAUCCCCUAUUUUACUAUUUUAAACAUUUAUGUAUUUAUGUGUUUUAUGUAUUGGGAUAUGUGUGUGCUCUAGCACACAUGUGGGGUAAGAAUAAACUCUCUCCUAUCAUGUAGGGUUAGGGAUCCAGUCAUGUAGGCAGGCUUGGCGGCAGGCAUCUUGACCUGCUGGGCCAUCUCUCUGGCCUCACUAAUUUUUAAGAAAACACCCUAAAAGUUUUAAUUCUAAAAUAAAUUUAAUUACAUGUUGAAAUGAUAAUAUUAUAUAUAUAUGUGUGUGUGAAUUAUAUUGUUAAAAUUAGAUUUACCCCUUUUCCUUUAAUAAAAACAUGGUUCCUGGACAAUUUAAAAACUGCAUGUGGCUUACAUUUUGUUUCUAUUGGACAGCACAGCUCUAAAGGAAUGAGUUGCAGCAGGCACUUUUUAGUGCUUCAGGCUGCUUGUGCAGAUCUAGUAUAGACACGACCUAAAAUUACCUCUCCACACAGAACAAAUCCUAGCCUAUCGUCUUACCGCAUGUGUGUUUGUUGGCCAUGAGGAAAACUUAAUAAAGUGUGGAUGGUUCUACACAAAGCCAACCUCAGACCUGGAAAAAUGCAAGGAGCCCACUUGCUGAAAGACUGCAUCUCUCCUUCCUUCUCCCCAGCAGUGAGCUCAUUCCCAGCUGGAGUCAACUGUAGCAUAACGUACUAUGCACUUCUGGAUGGGCUUUGGUGGCUGAACAACAAGCCGAAGACCAAGGCUGUCCACAGACAAAAGCAGCCAUGGACAUGCAGCUAGCUCAGCCAUGCCUUGAGUCUGACAAGCUGGAGUAACACUCGUCACUUUGUCGGCAUCUGCCUUCACUUGAAGGCGCUUAUUGUUCAAUUCCUCUAUAUUUAUUAUUAUUUUUAGACAGUCUCAGUCCGUAGCCUAGCCUGGCCUUGAGCUCCUUGCAAUCCUCCUGUGUGAGUCUCUUGAGUGUUGGGAUUAUAGAUUUGUGCUGCCAUGUUCUGCACAAUCUAUACUCCAGGAUAUUACCUUACUAUAAGCCAGGUACGGCUUACCAUAACAGACAUUUUGGUUCACAGGAAAGGAAAAACUGAAGUCAUUUCUAGAACAUGAGGUUUAAGGUCAGAAAUGACCUGCCUUUGGCAGUAAUCAUUAUUGAUGACAUAGCUUAAUAUAAUAAAUGCUGCAUUAUAUUUUA